CCAACCGCUCCAGGUGAGAGCUCACCUGACGCCGCGCCUGCCUGGGGACGCGGCGGCGGAACGUGAAGCCCCCCGGGCCUGGAGAGGCUGGGAUGGGGUCCGAGGUGGGGACGAAGGAGUUUGUGCUUCUCCCGGGCGGGGGGAAGGGACGCACAGGAUUCUCUCCCCGGAGGGCAUCGCAGAACUGCCCAGGUGGCAGCACCUGUUACUGAUAAUAAUUCCAACAGCGGCUCCCGUGUACCAAGCUCUACGUGUGUGCCAGGCUCGGCACAUAGCUUCACUGAAGCCUCGAGCCCCCUGUGAGGUUGGGGCAAUCGUUAUCCCCAUUGCACAGGUCCAGUGUCAAGGUUUACCGCAGUCUCUCCCUCUUGGCUUCUAUCACCGGGUUGUGCCAACCUUCCUCUUCUUGACCAGGCAUUCAGCGUGUUAUGGCCUGGGUGUAAUACCACAGGUCUCCAAUAGGGGUCGCUGACUACAACAGGAUGGGACACCUGUAGUUGAACGGAGAGAACCCUGGGUCCUAACUUAACCUUGUCCUUGGCUUCCUCUAUGACCUCGGUUUCCUCAUCCAUAAAGUGGAUAUAACAGUCCCUAGCUGCCUUCCUCACAGAACAGUGGUGAGAAAUGUGAGGAUGAAAGUGAACACCUUCCAUUCAGAAGAGGCAGCUUCCAUCCAGAUGUUUUCAAAAAACCAGUCAUCCCAUAAUUACUUUUUGAGCGUCACUCACCGUGCCAGGUGCCAUAUGGAAUCCAGAAAUUACUUCUACCUUCGCAUAAAAGAACUUUGAAUAAAAGUUUAAAGCAAACUGUAACCCUGACAGUCGGGGGAGAGGCUCGAGCGCUCCCUGGUGGGUGGAAACAGCAGCAUCCCCUGCCCCGGGAAAGAUGAGGGGAUGUGAAGCAGCAGGACGUCUACUUCAGCCUGUGGCUGGAAGUCUCUCGCAUCCAGUAACUCAUCUCUUCCUCUCACAACCCGGUUUGCGCAUGGGGAAACCGAGGCACAGCGAAGCGAAGUGACCUGCCCGAGAACCUGGAUUCCAGGAACCUCCCAGCCAGCUAAUCCCAGAACAUGGAGUGGAAAGGGACAGCACGGGAAGACAAGUGACCCGAGCGGGCAGGGAGGGACGGAGAAGGGAGGACCUUCCUGUCCUGACACCCUGGCCAGGCAGACGGAGCUGAGGGCGGCCGCGGCGGCCAGCCUUCUGCAGGAGCGCCCCCUGCUGGUGACCGGUGCUGCCGCUUGUGGCGGCCGCGGGUGAAGGAGGAUGCUUAGCUCUGGGGGGGCUGUUCCCUAAGAGACAGGAGACCCCCACCAGAGCAGAGCAGGAAGGGCCCAGAGGCGUCGCCCCAACCUCUUCACUUUGCACAUGGCAAACGCGAAGCUCAGAGGAGGAAGUGACUCGCUCAAGGGCUCUCAGAGAGCCGACGGGAUGCAGGUCUCCCAGUCGUCCUUCCUCAUACUGCAGAAUUCUCCAUCUCCCGUCCCCUCCUGCCCCGCAUUCCUGAGCCCGGAGGGCCCCUUCUUCCCCUCCCGGCGCCCAGCCAGUCCCCAUUCCUCCUCUCCUCUCCAGCCCCUGCCCGCCCCACAAGCCCGUCCCCUCCAGGAACCCUCCCACACUCAGCCCCAGAGCUCUCCCUUCCCCAAGCCCUAUUGCCUCCAACGGCCGGGAGUUUAAAUGGCUUUCAAUUCCGGGACACAGCUUUGUCAGCCUGUCGGCACGAUCUUGGGGACCGUAGAUGAGGCUUCUUUCUUUCGGAUUCUCCCCUCACCUGCCUAGCCCCUCCUCACCCAGAGGUGCCUGGUACCGGGCGAGCUCUCCUCUCACUCGGUGAUGACGACUGAUGAAUGUCUUUUUC